GACGAACGCUGGCGGCGUGCUUAACACAUGCAAGUCGAACGGAAAGGCCCUGCUUUUGUGGGGUGCUCGAGUGGCGAACGGGUGAGUAACACGGGAGUAACCUGCCCUUGACUUUGGGAUAACUUCAGGAAACUGGGGCUAAUACCGGAUAGGAGCUCCUGCUGCAUGGUGGGGGUUGGAAAGUUUCGGCGGUUGGGGAUGGACUCGCGGCUUAUCAGCUUGUUGGUGGGGUAGUGGCUUACCAAGGCUUUGACGGGUAGCCGGCCUGAGAGGGUGACCGGCCACAUUGGGACUGAGAGACGGCCCAGACUCCUACGGGAGGCAGCAGUGGGGAAUAUUGCACAAUGGGCGGAAGCCUGAUGCAGCAACGCCGCGUGCGGGAUGACGGCCUUCGGGUUGUAAACCGCUUUCGCCGGUGACGAAGCGUGAGUGACGGUAAUGGGUAAAGAAGCACCGGCUAACUACGUG
rnacentral:rRNA from 1 species